rnacentral:rRNA from 1 species
AAACCAACAGGGAUUGCCCCAGUAACGGCGAGUGAAGCGGCAACAGCUCAGAUUUGGAAUCUGGCCCCCUCCCGGGGGCCCGAGUUGUAAUCUGGAGAGGAUGCUUCUGGCGCGGCGCCUGGCGAGUUCCCUGGAACGGGACGCCGGAGAGGGUGAGAGCCCCGUACUCCAGGACGCCCAGCCUCUGCGAAGCUCCUUCGACGAGUCGAGUAGUUUGGGAAUGCUGCUCUAAAUGGGAGGUAAAUUUCUUCUAAAGCUAAAUACCGGCCAGAGACCGAUAGCGCACAAGUAGAGUGAUCGAAAGAUGAAAAGCACUUUGAAAAGAGGGUCAAACAGUACGUGAAAUUGUUGAAAGGGAAGCGCCCGUGGCCAGACUUGCGCCUCGCGGCCCACCCGGCGGACCCCGCCGGGGCACGCCGCGGGGCGCAGGCCAGCAUCGGCUCUCCUAGGGGGAAAAGGACGGCGGGAACGUGGCUCCUCCGGGAGUGUUAUAGCCCGCCGCGCCAUGCCCCUGGGGGGGCCGAGGACCGCGCUUCGGCAAGGAUGCUGGCGUAAUGGCCACCGGCGAC